UACGGAGGGUGCAAACGUUGCUCGGAAUCAUUGGGCGUAAAGCGCACGUAGGCGGCCUGAUAAGUCGGGUGUGAAAGCCCUUGGCUCAACUGAGGAAGUGCAUCCGAAACUGGCAGGCUAGAGUACUAAAGAGGAUCGCGGAAUUCCCGGUGUAGAGGUGAAAUUCGUAGAUAUUCGCAAGAACACCAGUGGCGAAGGCGGCCAACUCGGUCCGAUACUGACGCUGAGGCGCGAAAGCGUGGGGAGCAAACAGG
rnacentral:rRNA from 1 species